UACGUAGGCAGCAAGCGUUGUUCGGAGUUACUGGGCGUAAAGGGUGUGUAGGCGGUUCUUUAAGUUUGGUGUGAAAUCUCCCGGCUUAACCGGGAGGGUGCGCCGAAUACUGAGGGACUAGAGUACGGGAGAGGAAAGUGGAAUUCCUGGUGUAGCGGUGAAAUGCGUAGAUAUCAGGAGGAACACCGGUGGUGUAGACGGCUUUCUGGACCGUAACUGACGCUGAGACACGAAAGCGUGGGGAGCGAACAGG
rnacentral:rRNA from 1 species